UACGGAGGGUGCAAGCGUUAAUCGGAAUUACUGGGCGUAAAGCGUGCGCAGGCGGUUUGUUAAGUCCGCUGUGAAAUCCCCGAGCUCAACUUGGGAAUUGCAGUGGAUACUGGCAAGCUGGAGUAUGGUAGAGGAAGGUGGAAUUCCCGGUGUAGCAGUGAAAUGCGUAGAGAUCGGGAGGAGCACCAGCGGCGAAGGCGGCCUUCUGGACCAAUACUGACGCUCAUGCACGAAAGCGUGGGGAGCAAACAGG
rnacentral:rRNA from 1 species